AAUUGACGGGGGCCCGCACAAGCGGCGGAGCAUGCGGAUUAAUUCGAUGCAACGCGAAGAACCUUACCAAGGCUUGACAUACACCGGUAACGCCCAGAGAUGGGUGCCCCUUUGUGGUCGGUGUACAGGUGGUGCAUGGUUGUCGUCAGCUCGUGUCGUGAGAUGUUGGGUUAAGUCCCGCAACGAGCGCAACCCUCGUCCUAUGUUGCCAGCGGGUCAUGCCGGGGACUCAUGGGAGACUGCCGGGGUCAACUCGGAGGAAGGUGGGGAUGACGUCAAAUCAUCAUGCCCCUUAUGUCUUGGGCUUCACGCAUGCUACAAUGGCCGGUACAAAGGGCUGCGAUACCGCGAGGUGGAGCGAAUCCCAGAAAGCCGGUCUCAGUUCGGAUUGGGGUCUGCAACUCGACCCCAUGAAGUCGGAGUCGCUAGUAAUCGCAGAUCAGCAACGCUGCGGUGAAUACGUUCCCGGGCCUU
rnacentral:rRNA from 1 species